UGGCAUAGCUGGGCUCAGCUGGAGGCUGCUGCUCUGUUCAUUACGCUGUUUUAGACGCUACCUCUGACUUACUUGAAGAGACAAUACUGCUGUUGUUCAGGUGGAAGCUGCUAAUGCUGCAUUAAAUAUCAAAACUGUCCUUUGGGCCUGAGAGGUGAAGGCUUGGCACAAUCUUUCUUCUCAACCUCUGUUUUACUUUAUUAUUUCAAUACAUUAAUUGCAACAGUGUUUAAGUGUAUUUUUUUGGCCUUAAUUUGGAGAAUAUUUCAGUCUUAUUUUGCGGAUUAUAACUCAAGUCUGAAUUCCUGUUUCCUGUGACAUAUAGGAAACUUUCAUUUUCCUGAAUUCCUGGGACAUUUAGGAAACUAUGGCAUAACCUUUCUCUUUUACCUGUUGGUAACCUGUUGGUUACUUGGGGUUUUUUAGUCCAUCAAACUUCACUUUUCUCUCACCCAGGCAGCUCUCCUCUGGAAGGAGAUGGGCCAAGUAGGGGCUUGCUUGAUAUUCAGAGAACUGUACCUGACAGGGACUGCUCCAAGCCCAAAUAUUGGAUCACUGUGAUUUGUGAUGGGACAGUGAAUUCUGCAGUCAGACCUGAAAAUUGUGCUUGUAGACAGAGAGCCACACCUAUUAAGGGAGAAAUUUCUCCAGCCUUCACCUGCUUGUGAGAGAGUAAGCAAUAAUCACACAAGUACAGGCUGAUGUUAGUACUGCUUCUUUCUUUAGUCAUACUUAUUUUUGUGCUGGUUCACAAUGAAAUGUGACUGUGUAUGUUUGAGCCAAUGGUCAAACAUAUGUUGGUACUUAUCAGCACUUAAUUUACUAGCUGAUAAUAUCCUAUGGUCUGAUUUACCUUCAUUGUUUUAUUUUUUUUAAAAAUGCACAAAAGGGACUGAUUAGCAGAUACUUCUCUGCUCAAUCAUCUUCCUGAAACAACUAUUGGUGCACUAAUUAUCUGGUGAUUAUGAAUUUGUAUUUAUCUCCAAGCUUAUUUAUUAUAGAAUGGAUUGUCUUUAUACGUAUUUAAUUCAAAGGAAAAAUUUAUCUCCAGGUUUAUUAUUUAUUUUGAUGUUUUAUCCUGUAUCUGCCAUUAUGGUCUGACAGCUGUGAAAAAUCCCAGCUUUCUUGUCACAACUCAGGAGAAAUGUAAAGGUUUGCAAAUCUUCCAUGUGAACCUUGGCCGAGUUCAGAGCAGACUGUAAUCUGAUUUAUCUGUUGUUUGCCUGGCUUUCAUUAGAGUUCCUUGAAUUUUUUUAACUGAAUCGUUUCUCUAAGGGAGUUGGGGGUGGGGGCAGUGCUGUCACACACUGUCUUUCUCCUUUCCACUUGUGUCUCAGUGAUAAAGGGACUAGUCCCAAAAAUCAGGGUUUGGGAGCUAUGUUCAAAUUUGUUUUAAUACUUCCUUUUAAAACCACAGCAGAAGGUUUUUAUUGAAUUUGGUGCUUUUCUUCUUGUUGAUGAAGCCAUCAGAACCUUUUUUGAACAGUUCUGUUCAGUCUGCAAGUUUAUUUAAAAUACCUGGAUUUUCCUUAGCUGACUUUUUUGUUUAUUUUACUACUACUUUACUCAUGGCCCCAACUGAAACUCCAUGUGGAUUUGGUUUUGGUGGUUUCCUUCUGCAAAUUGUCUUGGUGCUCAGAGCUCAGCUGGGUGUUAACACCAAAGUUGUGGGUUUGUUCCCAGUAUGGGCCAUUCAUUUAAGAGCUGGAUUCAUUGCCCUUAUGGGUUCCUUCCAGCUCACAAUAUUCUGUGAUUCUCUAACUUGGCUUGAAUACCAGUGAGGCAGAAAUAAUACUUUGCAAGGUUCCCUGCAGAACUGGAAGAGAAAGGUGAAGUGAGUAUGGUGUUUGUACGUGACCCUUAAUUUAUUUUCUACUAUAUAUAUAUGUGCCUCAAAAGAGAUUUGGCUUAGCCAAUAUUUGUAUUGUGUGUGCACAGUAAUGACUUAUUAGUCCUUCUGCUGUAUUUGUUUAAAUAGAUAUGGGAUGGGCUCAGGGCUUUGGUUAGAAGUUUUUAAAUGCACUCUCAGAAGUUUAACAUAUUUGCUGCUAGUUCACACCUGAAACAUGCUGGGUGUUAAGAAUGUUAGCAGAGGGAAAAGAAAUGGAAAACAGAUUUAGUACUAAUGGUUAAGUAUAUGGGGAAGGGAAACAUUUCUGUAAGUUUGGCCUGUCAGAAGAGACUUGAGUGUCAUUUCAGAGCAGGGCUUGGUGGUGUGCUUCCAGUGUGAGCAACCUGACAGUCCUAAAUGGUGAGUUGGGCAGUUGGCAGGUGACACUUGUCUAUGACCUGACAUCUCCCUUGGCUUCCUACUCUGGGCAGCUUUCAUGCUGGUGUUUAGAAUUGGUCCUAGGGUUGUCCGAAACCACCCUAAGCAAUAUGAACUGCCUUUCAUCUAUUCUGUUACACAGAGAAAAGCUAUCCAUAUAAUGGGCUUAUCUUGCUUACUCAACACCAAAACAUAUCCAGACUUCCUCAUGCUUUGCAAAAUUGAGCUCAUCCGGGCUUGGACUUUGGGCUGUGGAUUCCAUUUUCCAGCGUUACAAAAUUAAAAGCUCAACAGAUGGGUAGAAGAGCCAGAGCAUAUGGUGAAGAGCAAAUAAAUCUUAUGCUAAGGACAUGUAUGUAGAACUAACUGUGGUAAGAGUAUGGUGAUUUACUUAAUGACACCUUUAGUGGUAAUCCUAUCAGCUCUUUGGUUUAGGUUGUUAAAUCAGUCUCUGUUUUGCAUUAAAAAUAAUAAGUCCCACUAAUUCAAUACAUCUGUUCUGUUGAAGUGUGUUUACUUCUGUAUGCAUAUUUAUUUCUUUACAAGUCUCACCAAGUAAACUGUUAAUUGUAGGGACUGGAAUAGGAAUGUCAACUUUAGAACUGUGUGCUGAAUCUGCUUAUGUUUUAUAUCCCUGAAUAUUUAUGCAUUGUGUGUUGUCCAUUUAAACAGUACUUACCCUUUGUUAGACCUGUCAUACCAUCUAUAUAGAACUGCAGUGUAUUCUUAAUUUUGAAGGAAGUGCUGAUCAGCACAUCCUAUAUAAAAAUAAUUUAGAUGGUUCUUUGAUUUUUCUCAAUGUCAAAUGUAUUUUCCAGAUUAUUUUUUUUUUAAUUUAUACUCUGAAGGGUGCAGAGGAGACCAGGUGAAGGGGAGUUAGCAAUUCUCAGUAUUUAUUUUGUGCAGUCUGUCUUUUGUCAGUUUGUGCUUUCCCCACCUGUCUGAUUCAGUUUUGUGAAACCAGGAUGCCUCAUCUGCAGUCUCAGCUGCAGAUAAAUUUGGGGUUUACAUCUGUUUCUUCUGCUUUAUAUCAUUGGAGGUUUUAAUCCUGAAAAUAAUAAAAAUAAAACUUGAACUAA